GACGAACGCUGGCGGCGUGCCUAAUACAUGCAAGUUGAGCGCUGAAGGUUGGUACUUGUACCAACUGGAUGAGCAGCGAACGGGUGAGUAACGCGUGGGGAAUCUGCCUUUGAUCGGGGGACAACAUUUGGAAACGAAUGCUAAUACCGCAUAAAAACUUUAAACACAAGUUUUAAGUUUGAAAGAUGCAAUUGCAUCACUCAAAGAUGAUCCCGCGUUGUAUUAGCUAGUUGGUGAGGUAAAGGCUCACCAAGGCGAUGAUACAUAGCCGACCUGAGAGGGAGAUCGGCCACAUUGGGACUGAGACACGGCCCAAACUCCUACGGGAGGCAGCAGUAGGGAAUCUUCGGCAAUGGACGAAAGUCUGACCGAGCAACGCCGCGGGAGUGAAGAAGGUUUUCGGAUCGUAAAACUCUGUUGGUAGAGAAGAACGUUGGUGAGAGUGGAAAGCUCAUCAAGUGACGGUAACUACCCAGAAAGGGACGGCUAACUACGUG
rnacentral:rRNA from 1 species